CUUGCUGAGCUGGUAAAGCAAGGAACACAGCAGCAGCAGAGACAGCAGAAGGGUGGCAGUGAUGGCAGAGGCAGCGAACCCCAGUGGCAGUAACAGCUCAGCCGUCAGCAGGUCGUGGUGUGAAUGCAGCAGAAGCAGCAGCUCCACAGCUGUGCAGUGCCCAGACAGGGUUUCUCACUGAAUGUGGAGCUCACCCACUCAGAUAGACCGGCUUGUCAGAGGGCUCCAGGAAUCUCCUUUUCUCUUAGGCAGCCUUUGGAACGGUGCUACUCAGGGUCAAGAUGUAAGAACUCUCAGCUCCUUCUCCAGGACCAUG